rnacentral:rRNA from 1 species
AUCGAACGCUGGCGGCAGGCCUAACACAUGCAAGUCGAACGAGUGGCGGACGGGUGAGCAAUGUCUGGGAAACUGCCUGAUGGAGGGGGAUAACUACUGGAAACGGUAGCUAAUACCGCAUAACAUCAGAUGUGCCCAGAUGGGAUUAGCUUGGUGGUGGGGUAACGGUUCACCAAGGCGACGAUCCCUAGCUGGUCUGAGAGGAUGAACGGCCACACUGGAACUGAGACACGGUCCAGACUCCUACGGGAGGCAGCAGUGGGGAAUAUUGCGCAAUGGGCGCAAGCCUGAUGCAGCCAUGCCGCGUGUGUGAAGAAGGCCUUCGGGUUGUAAAGUACUUUCAGCGGGGAGGCGUUACCCGCAUAGAAAGCACCGGCUAACUCCGUGCCAGCAGCCGCGGUAAUUC